GUUGACUGAAGAAGAGCAGGUGAAGAUUGCCAAACCAUGGGGUUAAUAACACACCUACCUUGGGAAUUUUCGAUGGCUCUAAGAAGAGUGGAGAAUGUGUUAUCUGCAUGAUAGACUUCACCGUUGGUGAUCGAGUGCGCUAUCUGCCAUGUAUGCAUACGUACCACACAGAGUGCAUUGAUGAUUGGUUAAUGCGCUCUUUUACCUGCCCAUCAUGCUUAGAACCUGUGGAUGCAGCUCUGCUUAAUACAUAUGGGACGACCUAGCCAUGUGCAGCUAUUAGGAAGGGUUUGCUCAGGAUUUUCUUUCAUUUGUUCCUGACCAACAGGUGAUAUUGGUACACUGUUUUUAGAGGUUACUUAAUUGCACUAUAAAUGUGAUGGUUAUCUGUCACUUAUUUUGUAGGUGAUGCUUUUUGUUAAGUUAAGGUCAAUAUAAAUUGGUCAUUACCCAAUAAAAAUAAAUAUUUUUGUUCAUAGUGUACAGUCCUGGAAAACCUGUUACAAUUAAAGAUUCUUAGAUAUCA